GUUAAGCAUGUAAAAGGCAUCCAAAACUGCAGUUCAGCACCUAUGAAAUGACUUAUUAACUUUGCCUGCGUAAGGAUUCUGGAAUGAAGCAGAAGAAGGAAAGGUGUAAGGGACAAAUAAUGUCUUUCUUAAUUGAUACCAAGUGUACCUCUGGAACUAGAUGAUCCAGCCAUACCAACCGUUUUAGAACAGGUGCUUUUCUCUCAUCAAAGAAUCAAAAGAAAAACAACAAAACAACAACAAAAACACAGAAGCAACAAUAACAACCAAAUGAACAAACAAACAAAAAAACCCAAAUGAAGGGAGAGUCAGUUUCCCCUAGGGCUGAAACUUUGCAGCAG